AAAUUGAAGAGUUUGAUCAUGGCUCAGAUUGAACGCUGGCGGCAGGCCUAACACAUGCAAGUCGAACGGUAACAGGAAGCAGCUUGCUGCUUUGCUGACGAGUGGCGGACGGGUGAGUAAUGUCUGGGAAACUGCCUGAUGGAGGGGGAUAACUACUGGAAACGGUGGCUAAUACCGCAUAACGUCGCAAGACCAAAGAGGGGGACCUUCGGGCCUCUUGCCAUCAGAUGUGCCCAGAUGGGAUUAGCUUGUUGGUGAGGUAACGGCUCACCAAGGCGACGAUCCCUAGCUGGUCUGAGAGGAUGACCAGCCACACUGGAACUGAGACACGGUCCAGACUCCUACGGGAGGCAGCAGUGGGGAAUAUUGCACAAUGGGCGCAAGCCUGAUGCAGCCAUGCCGCGUGUAUGAAGAAGGCCUUCGGGUUGUAAAGUACUUUCAGCGGGGAGGAAGGUGUUGUG
rnacentral:rRNA from 4 species